ACAACCCACUGCCGCAUAUAUUUUUUUGGCUCUCCCCUCUUCAUCUCUUUCUCACGCGGCUGGGAAACCCAAUAGCUUCGAGAUCCGCCACUCAACCACCGUCCAAGGUGGUCGGGUCUACCACAAAAUAAAAAGAAAGCCUUCCUCUUUUUUGAUCUAAAACCCCACAAACAACCCCCAAAAACCGACAUGCAAGGCCUAAACGACCAAAGGAUAAGACCUCUCGGCUAUCUCGACUCACGGCGACGCCUAACUCCGACGACGGACUGACUUCAAACUUCGGUGAAAACCCACAUAAAGUAAGUUGAGUUGGUGGCAGCAGCAGCAGCAUUGGCACGGGGCAUGGGUGCUGCAUCAGUUGGUGUGCAGAAUCGCUUGGGGAUAGUGUUGUUGUGCUGGCAGGACAAAAAUGGUUCGGUGGUGGCUUUUAUAGCCACCACAUGUCUUCUUCGGACCGGAUAAUAGGGCAAAGUUCAGUGAGUCACCAAACUAUAGUUGUGACUCACUCUAGACUUCAACGUGUGCGGCUGUUCUGAGUCUUCUGGAGUCUUCGUCGGAGGCGUGGCACUGGUGGAGCGUCGGUAGUGGCGUUGGCAGCUGUUGGUUGGGUCACUUGGCAGUGGAGGCGUGGCAGCAGCUUCUGGAAACUUGAGCGGCGACAUUAGUGUUAGGUUUAGAAACCCUAGCUGAAACCCCAAAUCAGUUUAGGGUUUCUAUUUGGG